rnacentral:rRNA from 1 species
CCUACGGGAGGCAGCAGUGGGGAAUAUUGCACAAUGGGGGAAACCCUGAUGCAGCGACGCCGCGUGAGUGAAGAAGUAUUUCGGUAUGUAAAGCUCUAUCAGCAGGGAAGAAAAUGACGGUACCUGACUAAGCCGCCACGGCUAACUACGUGCCAGCAGCCGCGGGCAUACGUAGGGGGCAAGCGUUAUCCGGAUUUACUGGGUGUAAAGGGAGCGUAGACGGCCAGACAAGUCAGAAGUGAAAGCCCGGGGCUCAACCCUGGGACUGCUUUUGAAACUGCAGGGCUGGAGUGCAGGAGAGGUAAGCGGAAUUCCUAGUGUAGCGGUGAAAUGCGUAGAUAUUAGGAGGAACACCAGUGGCGAAGGCGGCUUACUGGACUGUAACUGACGUUGAGGCUCGAAAGCGUGGGGAGCAAACAGGAUUAGAUACCCUUGUAGUC